rnacentral:tRNA from 1 species
GCCUGGAUAGCUCAGCUGGUUAGAGCGUGGUGCUGAUAACACCAAGGUUGCAGGUUCCAUCCCCGUAUGGGGCA